AUACGAAAGGUGCGAGCGUUGUUGGGAUUUACUGGGCGUAAAGCGAGUGUAGGUGGUUUGUUAAGUCGGAUGUGAAAUCCCGGGGCUCAACCUCGGAACUGCAUUCGAUACUGGCAGGCUAGAGUUCGGGAGGGGUAAGCGGAAUUCCGUGUGUAGCAGUGAAAUGCGUAGAUAUACGGAGGAACACCUGAGGCGAAGGCGGCUUACUGGACCGAUACUGACACUGAGACUCGAAGCGUGGGUAGCAAACAGGAUUAGAAACCCUAGUAGUCC
rnacentral:rRNA from 1 species